rnacentral:lncRNA from 1 species
UGUUGCUGCUGCUGCUGCUUUUGGUUACUGGUCUCUUCACUCAUGCUUGUUUUACUGAUGCCUUGUUUACAUGUAUUGCAGUUGAUACUUUGGCUCUGCCCAUGAGUCUUUAAGUGGCUGGAUACCUUGUCUUCGUGGCGCACCAUGUGUGUCCGCAGUCUGUCUUUGGCGGCAAAGGCAGCAGUGCACGUCUUGAGAAGCCUUUCCCACAAACACUGCAAGUAUAGGGUUUGGUGAUUCCUCCUUCAUGAGACCUCACACG